ACCACUGCUGACAGUUGCGUUAUGCCAUCUGCAAUACAAACAACAAAAAAUCUCUAGUGACGAUCAGGAUAGAAUAUUAAAUCAAACGGUCCUGGAGCCUUUGAAUUCCCAGAGACUAUCUCGAGAAGCACCCCCAGCCGGUGAGUUUCCUCGAGCCUCUAACCGAAUUACUCACUAAUGAAUUGCCUGCCGAAUUUUUUCUCUGCUUUCUUCACUUUUAUCUCGUAGGACAGCGUCAUUGGUCUCAAUCAGGAUAUCACUUUCCGGAUGGAUCUUUUGUCUUUUUCUCUCGCUCCCUCAGAUCCAUGGAAACGUGAUUCCCCAGGGUGCGGACACCAGAGCGUUGGUAAUUUGGGUUACUCCAACCACGCCGUUUGAACAAAAAUAAAAAAGGAAGAGGGAACGAGGACGAGGGAAAGAAAAAAAUGAGAUGAAAAAAUCCCGUGAUGAACCUUGCCAGGGGAGACAGCGAAUACGGUGAGGAACAGAGGCCAAUCGGCGCACACUGCGAACUAGGCUAGGUGGAUGGACUAUUUCCAAAACUUGAGAAUUCCAAUGAAGAACUGUUUAUUCCCUAUUUUGCACGAUCAAUUGGUUGAACGAAAGGGAAAAAAAAGAUGGGCAACAGAGAGGCUAUUUCUUUCGUCACGCUCCGUGGGCGUUCUAGUAUACAUCAAAGUGCCCAGCUCUUACGUGCACUACGACGGGCCGGGUCGGGUUGCAUCGCACGCGGCGCUCGAAUGUGUUUGACGAGCGAUCCAUCGAUGUGGCCCGAUGAAGUCCGACCCGGCCCGUCAGCCGAUGUGCGCUCUUCCAUUUGAGAUACAUAAAAGCGGUUAGAAAAAUGCGAUGCAACCCGGCUUGACCAGGUCCAGUGUCAGGCCAGAGCCGGUCGGAAAACCUCGAAUCGGGGUUGCGCUGCAUUUUCAUUGGGCAAAUCCCGACGAGAAAUUACGUCGUUAAGCAGCAGCAUGGGUCACUGGGAACUAAACCGAAAUUCAGGGGCUUUCUCUGUUUCCUUCGCAUUCUUUCUCUCGGCAACCAAAAGCGCCUAUUCAUGCGUGCGAACACAGAGCUCGCUGCGGAACACCAGAGAGAUGUUGUGUAUACAUUCACCCGUCGAUCGACUCGUAAUAAAAUUAUCGCCCCGCGUUAUUACCGUCAGACGGGUUUGGUUGCGUUUCAAAAAAUUCCAGUUCUCUUCUCGAGAGAUUUUUUUUUACACGUGCUCUCUGUAUCCUGGGAAUAUCACUUAUUCGACGGAUAUAUAAAUAUAAUGAAACGCAUUUUUUACCAAAGUAUCGGUCGCAGGUCACGCCUCGAAAUAAACAUUAAAUGAGGUUGCUGCAAGAGGCCCGCAUGUAAAAUAAUUCGUGCAUGCAUAGAUGGGAGUAUUCGAAUUGGCUAUCCAAGCGUAAAAAGCUGCCACAUAUAAAAAUCGAAGUGAAAAGUCGUUACAGGGGGAAAAAGAAACCGGAACGUGUCUCUCAGCUGUAACAAUGUAAAGGACCGAUACACGACCAGAGUGCAUUCGACGAGUGAACGAAUGAAUAAACCAUUGAAAAGGAAAGGAACAGUAAACAUAAUACGAAAAGUGACGGUAGCGUGAUCCGAAGAAGUGAGAACAUAAGCGUGAAAUUAUAAUUACACGAUCGCGAGAUAAUAGCAUGGACUCUGAGACCGGAUUGUACGUGAGGAUAAAAAAAAGGUUCGUCGAAUAACGAGCAAAUUAUUGUGAAUGACUUGCACCGCAGAUAUAAAUUGUUCGAGGAAUAACCUUGUGAAAUUUUU
rnacentral:lncRNA from 1 species